rnacentral:sRNA from 1 species
UUUCCAUGACCGCUGAAUCCAUUUUUGGAACGGAGGAACCAUCGGCAGUUUUUUAUUGCCUGGGGUGAAACUUAUUAAGUCGGGCGACUUCUGCCGUCCGAACCCGUCAGCUAACUUCGUAAGCGUGGUAGGAGAGGGAAG